GUAUUAGUAGUGCUUGUGCACAACAAGAGUUUCAUUACAUUCGAGUGUGUAUGUAGAAAAUCCUCUGCCAGCCGAAGCUAGCAAGAGGCCAAAGGUUCACAGGGUAUUGGAUGAAAGUCACCAACGUGCACUUGCCGAAGCCGGCCAGCACUGAAGGCAACGAUUCGCAAUCAGUAAUGAUCCUUCCGCAGGUUCACCUACGGAAA
rnacentral:misc_RNA from 1 species